UACGGGGGGGGCAAGCGUUGUUCGGAAUUACUGGGCGUAAAGCGUGCGCAGGCGGCUUUGCAAGACAGAUGUGAAAUCCCCGGGCUUAACCUGGGAACUGCAUUUGUGACUGCAUGGCUGGAGUGCGGCAGAGGGGGAUGGAAUUCCGCGUGUAGCAGUGAAAUGCGUAGAUAUGCGGAGGAACACCGAUGGCGAAGGCAAUCCCCUGGGCCUGCACUGACGCUCAUGCACGAAAGCGUGGGGAGCAAACAGG
rnacentral:rRNA from 1 species